GGCUAAUGUCGAAGGCUAUAUGUAAAGUACGUCAUAAUAGUUGGGCAAGCGAACAAUCGAGAAAGAGGUGUUUUAUAGUUUUGUUCUGAUCACAAAGACAACAUCUAGAAUUGCCUCCCAUCUUCUCUUAAUUAAAUUAUCUUUCGUCAAAAUCACUCCUUUAUGAAUAAACCACAUAAAUAUUUUAAUGCUAAGAGCUGCCUAUCCAUCUUCGCUUAAUCAGAAGUCUACUUGUGAUGUUCUAAUGGAUUUCAUUUAUAUACUUUGCCGUUGAACGACGAGGUUUGUGGUUGGUGGAGAUGCACUUUAUGUCCAUUUACCAUGAGAGAUGGUCAUAGACAUUUUAUCACCUCGAAACAUUCCACACUAGUAGUAGCAUGUAUGACAUGAACCUAUAUAUACAUGGAAUUGUAGGGACAAAAUUUGUGUGGUUUUUUGUAGCUCGACCUUCAUGGUACCCCUUAUCUAAGCCAUUCAUUUUGGCUUCAAGAUCCGUGCAGGUACAUUUGUCUUUUUUGUUUCUCUCAAACGAAACAAUAUAUAAACUUCAAAUUUUACAGGACAACAAAACUUUCUAACAAGAAUGUGGGAAAAAAAAUCGGAUUUUUUCAUGCAUUUUAAAUGCUUAAAGUAAUUAUUUUAAUAAAAAAUAUUCUUUUUUAUAUUUAUGUCAAACCAAAAAAUCUAAUAGUUUUUUUUCGCACAUUCUUGUUAGAAAGUUUGUUUGAUCUGCAAUGUUUGAAGUCCAUAUGUUCAUUCAUUUGAGAGAAAUAGAAAAGAGAAAUUUUCUUGUACUAAGUUAGAUGGAGAGCACAGAUCUCAAAGCAAAUGCUAGAGGGUGAGGAUAAGGGUCUCCUUGUAGGACGAGCUACCAAGAAACUUUACCGGGCAGAAGAGUAGCAGAUACACGCCUGACUAGUGUCUACAUAGGUACUUGACAAUAGACAAGAUUGUAGGCAUGAUGUGAGUUGUGAGUCCUUUUAGAAGGCCCAACUCAAUAGUGGAUCUCGUCUUAUCAACGUAUAAAGGCUGUAAAUAGUAGCAUGGCCAGUAAUUUGAAUUCAUGCUGAAAAUAAUAGCAUGGCCAGUAAUUUGAAUUCAUACUUGAUGCCCACGAGUUUUCAUUAUCGGAUCAAAUUAGGCAGAUCAGGCUAAAGACGCUCCGACAAAUUUGUGACAAGCUGAGCAGUGAAUAAUGAUUCAUGUCCACUUGAUCAACCAACAAGAAAGAAGAGGCAUUUCUGGGGGACCUUUUAUUUUGAACCAGGCUAACCCCUUUUCAUUACAUAUAACGGAAAUACAACAGUCUCAAAACCAUAACAAGAGGAGAGGGGAAGAGAGAUAGCGAGUUCAACGAACCAGGGGAGAGGCAAAGAGAGGGAAAGAAGAGGCAUUUCUCGUGGAGCUAGAGUGUUGUUAAAGCAACUAAAUUAAUCCACUGAAGAAAUGUGGCAUGUGGAGUCCAAAUUUUAUUAAUAUAUUAAGGAAAGAUCAAUAACAGAACGUUNCGCCUGACUAGUGUCUACAUAGGUACUUGACAAUAGACAAGAUUGUAGGCAUGAUGUGAGUUGUGAGUCCUUUUAGAAGGCCCAACUCAAUAGUGGAUCUCGUCUUAUCAACGUAUAAAGGCUGUAAAUAGUAGCAUGGCCAGUAAUUUGAAUUCAUACUUGAUGCCCACGAGUUUUCAUUAUCGGAUCAAAUUAGGCAGAUCAGGCUAAAGACGCUCCGACAAAUUUGUGACAAGCUGAGUAGUGAAUAAUGAUUCAUGUCCACUUGAUCAACCAACAAGAAAGAAGAGGCAUUUCUGGGGGACCUUUUAUUUUGAACCAGGCUAACCCCUUUUCAUUACAUAUAACGGAAAUACAACAGUCUCAAAACCAUAACAAGAGGAGAGGGGAAGAGAGAUAGCGAGUUCAACGAACCAGGGGAGAGGCAAAGAGAGGGAAAGAAGAGGCAUUUCUCGUGGAGCUAGAGUGUUGUUAAAGCAACUAAAUUAAUCCACUGAAGAAAUGUGGCAUGUGGAGUCCAAAUUUUAUUAAUAUAUUAAGGAAAGAUCAAUAACAGAACGUUACAUGUUGUAGAGUCUAUUCAGCUAGUUCGAUCACGUAAUGUUCUUUCAGCAAUAGACUAGUUCAGAUGUGCAUCUUUCACGGCCGUGUCACUGAACAUGUCCGCAAAGCAAAACCAAAACACAAUUAGCAGCUUAGGCCAGGACUCCGAAAUCGAUAGAACUUGAAAUUUUGUUGAAACUGAAAGUUGAGUUCCUAAGGCCACCCAUGCCUAAAGCACUCUAUAUGCUUGCCCAGUUGAAAUAUGCUAGGCUAGGUACAUGUCAAUAGCUCAAGAAGCGAGGCAAACUGGGGUUGCUGCUUGUUGUGACUCGCGAGUGCGUAUACGAUGAAGAAGAAUUUUCCUUCGCUUUAUAUAUCAUAAAGCAACCAUCACUUCUAAAUAAAUACUAUGGAUCUUGUAUGCCACGGG
rnacentral:lncRNA from 1 species